UAGAGUUGAUCAUGGCUCAGAUUGAACGCUGGCGGCAGGCCUAACACAUGCAAGUCGAGCGGUAGAGAGAAGCUUGCUUCUCUUGAGAGCGGCGGACGGGUGAGUAAUACCUAGGAAUCUGCCUGAUAGUGGGGGAUAACGUUCGGAAACGGACGCUAAUACCGCAUACGUCCUACGGGAGAAAGCAGGGGACCUUCGGGCCUUGCGCUAUCAGAUGAGCCUAGGUCGGAUUAGCUAGUUGGUGAGGUAAUGGCUCACCAAGGCUACGAUCCGUAACUGGUCUGAGAGGAUGAUCAGUCACACUGGAACUGAGACACGGUCCAGACUCCUACGGGAGGCAGCAGUGGGGAAUAUUGGACAAUGGGCGAAAGCCUGAUCCAGCCAUGCCGCGUGUGUGAAGAAGGUCUUCGGAUUGUAAAGCACUUUAAGUUGGGAGGAAGGGCAUUAACCUAAUACGUUAGUGUUUGACGUACCGAC
rnacentral:rRNA from 1 species